rnacentral:misc_RNA from 1 species
UUUCCGUUGGUGAACCAGCGGAAGGAUCAUUACAGAGAUCAUGCCCUCACGGGUAGACCUCCCACCCUGUUUAUAUACUAUUGUUGCUUUGGCAGGCCGCCUUUUAGGCUCCCGGCACUCGUUGCUGGAGAGUGCCUGCCAGAGGACCCCAACUCUUGUGUUUAGUGUCGUCUGAGUACUAUAAUAAUAAGUUAAAACUUUCAACAACGGAUCUCUUGGUUCUGGCAUCGAUGAAGAACGCAGC